UACGGAGGGUGCAAGCGUUAUCCGGAUUCACUGGGUUUAAAGGGUGCGUAGGUGGGCAGGUAAGUCAGUGGUGAAAUCUCCGGGCUUAACUCGGAAACUGCCAUUGAUACUAUCUGUCUUGAAUACCGUGGAGGUCAGCGGAAUAUGUCAUGUAGCGGUGAAAUGCUUAGAUAUGACAUAGAACACCAAUUGCGAAGGCAGCUGGCUACACGAAUAUUGACACUGAUGCACGAAAAGCGUGGGGAUCAAACAGG
rnacentral:rRNA from 1 species